AGUGAACGCUGGCGGCGUGCUUAACACAUGCAAGUCGAACGAGAACGGAUUAUAGCUUGCUUUAAUUGUCAGCUAAGUGGCGCACGGGUGAGUAAUGUAUAGGUAAUAUGCCUCUUACUAAGGGAUAACAAAUGGAAACGUUUGCUAAUACCUUAUACUCCUUAUUAACAUAAGUUAAUAAGGGAAAGAUUUAUUGGUAAGAGAUUAGCCUGUAUUGUAUCAGUUAGUUGGUGGGGUAAUGGCUUACCAAGACUAUGACACAUAACUGGUUUGAGAGGAUGAUCAGUCACACUGGAACUGAGACACGGUCCAGACUCCUACGGGAGGCAGCAGUGGGAAUAUUGCACAAUGGACGAAAGUCUGAUGCAGCAACGCCGCGUGGAGGAUGACACAUUUCGGUGCGUAAACUCCUUUUAUAUGAGAAGAUAAUGACGGUAUUAUAUGAAUAAGCACCGGCUAACUCCGUGCCAGCCGCCGCGGUAA
rnacentral:rRNA from 1 species